rnacentral:rRNA from 1 species
UAGGGAAUCUUCGGCAAUGGACGAAAGUCUGACCGAGCAACGCCGCGUGAGUGAAGAAGGUUUUCGGAUCGUAAAACUCUGUUGUUAGAGAAGAACAAGGACGUUAGUAACUGAACGUCCCCUGACGGUAUCUAACCAGAAAGCCACGGCUAACUACGUGCCAGCAGCCGCGGUAAUACGUAGGUGGCAAGCGUUGUCCGGAUUUAUUGGGCGUAAAGCGAGCGCAGGCGGUUUCUUAAGUCUGAUGUGAAAGCCCCCGGCUCAACCGGGGAGGGUCAUUGGAAACUGGGAGACAUGAGUGCAGAAGAGGAGAGUGGAAUUCCAUGUGUAGCGGUGAAAUGCGUAGGUAUAUGGAGGAACACCAGUGGCGAAGGCGGCUCUCUGGUCUGUAACUGACGCUGAGGCUCGAAAGCGUGGGGAGCAAACAGG